CCAGUAAUCAAACAACUUUGCCAUGUUGUUAAUUUUGAUGAAGUCAGAACCUCGAAAUUCGUGAACAAAGUAAUGGUAUGAUAGUGAAAAUACCCUCGGAAAAUUGGUGCCGUAACGUACAGAACGGCAGCAGCAAAGAAUAUGGCACAUUUUCUCCAGGGCCACUGCUCUACAGGAAUAGCAGCAAGCGAAAUCCAACCAGUCCCAGCAUAAUUAGCUCCCUUCUUCCCGGCCACGUACUGAGUUCAUAGUCAUGGAAACAAAUGAAAUCCUAAUUCCGCUGCAAGCUCCCGAAGGUGAAGCAGCAAAACCAUUUGGAACAACUUCUGCAGAACGGUACCGCAUCUUUCGGAAGCCACAGCAGAGGACCCUGCGAGUUAUCUUUAAUGCCUCCAGACUACUGAAGCGAUGUUCCGGUCCCGUUAAGUUAACUGAACUUAUCGAUUGGCCACUGCAAGCUCGGAUCAUGGCUGAUACAAGGGGAGGCUCGCAGACGGUGGUAUUUUCACGGUGCUCGCUGUUAGUAAACCAGUUGCGGUUGCUACUAUUAUGUUCGUAGGUUGGCUCA